UACGUAGGGUGCGAGCGUUAAUCGGAAUUACUGGGCGUAAAGGGUGCGCAGGCGGUUAUAUAAGACAGGUGUGAAAGCCCCGAGCUUAACUUGGGAAUUGCGCUUGUGACUGGCGUGCUGGAGUGUGGCAGAGGGAGGUGGAAUUCCACGUGUAGCAGUGAAAUGCGUAGAGAUGUGGAGGAACACCGAUGGCGAAGGCAGCCUCCUGGGCCAGCACUGACGCUCAUGCACGAAAGCGUGGGGAGCAAACAGG
rnacentral:rRNA from 1 species